rnacentral:rRNA from 1 species
GAUGAACGCUGGCUACAGGCUUAACACAUGCAAGUCGAGGGGAAACGACGGGGAAGCUUGCUUCCCCGGGCGUCGACCGGCGCACGGGUGAGUAACGCGUAUCCAACCUGCCUCUGACUGAGGGAUAACCCGUCGAAAGUCGGCCUAAUACCUCAUGGCAUCGUCUGCGGGCAUCCAACGACGAUUAAAGAUUUCAUCGGUCAGAGAUGGGGAUGCGUCUGAUUAGCUUGUUGGCGGGGUAACGGCCCACCAAGGCGACGAUCAGUAGGGGUUCUGAGAGGAAGGUCCCCCACAUUGGAACGGAGACACGGUCCAAACUCCUACGGGAGGCAGCAGUGAGGAAUAUUGGUCAAUGGGCGAGAGCCUGAACCAGCCAAGUAGCGUGCAGGAUGACGGCCCUAUGGGUUGUAAACUGCUUUUAUGCGGGGAUAAAGUGAGGGACGUGUCCUUCAUUGCAGGUACCGCAUGAAUAAGGACCGGCUAAUUCCGUG